AGCGAACGCUGGCGGCAGGCUUAACACAUGCAAGUCGAGCGCCCCGCCAGGGGGGCGGCAGACGGGUGAGUAACACGUGGGAACGUACCCUUUGGUUCGGAACAACCCAGGGAAACUUGGGCUAAUACCGGAUAAGUCCGCGAGGAGAAAGAUUUAUCGCCGAAGGAUCGGCCCGCGUCUGAUUAGCUAGUUGGUGUGGUAACGGCGCACCAAGGCGACGAUCAGUAGCUGGUCUGAGAGGAUGAUCAGCCACACUGGGACUGAGACACGGCCCAGACUCCUACGGGAGGCAGCAGUGGGGAAUAUUGGACAAUGGGGGCAACCCUGAUCCAGCCAUGCCGCGUGAGUGAUGAAGGCCCUAGGGUUGUAAAGCUCUUUCGGUGGGGAAGAUAAUGACGGUACUCACAGAAGAAGCCCCGGCUAACUUCGUG
rnacentral:rRNA from 1 species